rnacentral:rRNA from 1 species
GGGUUGUGAGGUUAAGCGACUAAGCGUACACGGUGGAUGCCCUGGCAGUCAGAGGCGAUGAAGGACGUGCUAAUCUGCGAUAAGCGUCGGUAAGGUGAUAUGAACCGUUAUAACCGGCGAUUUCCGAAUGGGGAAACCCAGUGUGUUUCGACACACUAUCAUUAACUGAAUCCAUAGGUUAAUGAGGCGAACCGGGGGAACUGAAACAUCUAAGUACCCCGAGGAAAAGAAAUCAACCGAGAUUCCCCCAGUAGCGGCGAGCGAACGGGGAGCAGCCCAGAGCCUGAAUCAGUAUGUGUGUUAGUGGAAGCGUCUGGAAAGGCGCGCGAUACAGGGUGACAGCCCCGUACACAAAAAUGCACAUGCUGUGAGCUCGAUGAGUAGGGCGGGACACGUGGUAUCCUGUCUGAAUAUGGGGGGACCAUCCUCCAAGGCUAAAUACUCCUGACUGACCGAUAGUGAACCAGUACCGUGAGGGAAAGGCGAAAAGAACCCCGGCGAGGGGAGUGAAAAAGAACCUGAAACCGUGUACGUACAAGCAGUGGGAGCACGCUUAGGCGUGUGACUGCGUACCUUUUGUAUAAUGGGUCAGCGACUUAUAUUCUGUAGCAAGGUUAACCGAAUAGGGGAGCCGAAGGGAAACCGAGUCUUAACUGGGCGUUAAGUUGCAGGGUAUAGACCCGAAACCCGGUGAUCUAGCCAUGGGCAGGUUGAAGGUUGGGUAACACUAACUGGAGGACCGAACCGACUAAUGUUGAAAAAUUAGCGGAUGACUUGUGGCUGGGGGUGAAAGGCCAAUCAAACCGGGAGAUAGCUGGUUCUCCCCGAAAGCUAUUUAGGUAGCGCCUCGUGAAUUCAUCUCCGGGGGUAGAGCACUGUUUCGGCAAGGGGGUCAUCCCGACUUACCAACCCGAUGCAAACUGCGAAUACCGGAGAAUGUUAUCACGGGAGACACACGGCGGGUGCUAACGUCCGUCGUGAAGAGGGAAACAACCCAGACCGCCAGCUAAGGUCCCAAAGUCAUGGUUAAGUGGGAAACGAUGUGGGAAGGCCCAGACAGCCAGGAUGUUGGCUUAGAAGCAGCCAUCAUUUAAAGAAAGCGUAAUAGCUCACUGGUCGAGUCGGCCUGCGCGGAAGAUGUAACGGGGCUAAACCAUGCACCGAAGCUGCGGCAGCGAC